GUGUCAGCAGCCGCGGUAAUACGUAGGGGCCAAGCGUUGUCCGGAUUUAUUGGGCGUAAAGAGCGCGCAGGCGGUCGUUCAAGUCGAGUGUGAAAGCCCAGGGCUCAACCCUGGGCCUGCAUUCGAUACGGGCAGACUAGAGUAUGGCAGGGGAGACUGGAAUUCCUGGUGUAGCGGUGAAAUGCGCAGAUAUCAGGAGGAACACCAAUGGAGAAGGCAGCUCGCUGGGACGUGACUGACGCUGAGACGCGAAAGCGUGGGGAGCGAACAGGAUUAGAUACCCUUGUAGUCC
rnacentral:rRNA from 1 species